CCUAAACCCUCAGAAGGCUUAUGGACCUGAUGGGGUCCCUCCUAUUGUUCUCCGAAACUGUGCCUCCGUGCUUGCACCUUGCCUAGUCAAACUCUUUCAGCUCUGUCUGUCAACAUCUACCUUUCCUUCUUGCUGGAAGUUUGCCUACAUUCAACCUGUUCCUAAAAAGGGUGACCGCUCUAAUCCCUCAAACUACCGUCCUAUUGCUUUAAUUUCCUGCUUAUCUAAAGUUUUUUAAUCUAUCCUCAACAGGAAGAUUCUUAAACAUCUAUCACUUCACAACCUUCUAUCUGAUCGCCAGUAUGGGUUCCGUCAAGGCCGCUCUACUGGUGAUCUUCUCGCUUUCCUUACUGAGUCUUGGUCAUCCUCUUUUAGAGACUUUGGUGAAACUUUUGCUGUUGCCUUGGACAUAUCAAAAGCCUUUGAUAGAGUCUGGCACAAAGCUUUGAUUUCCAAACUACCCUCCUACGGUUUCUAUCCUUCUCUCUGUAACUUCAUCUCAAGUUUCCUUUCUGACCGUUCUAUUGCUGCUGUGGUAGACGGUCACUGUUCUUCUCCUAAAUCUAUUAACAGUGGUGUUCCUCAGGGUUCUGUCCUGUCACCCACUCUCUUCUUAUUAUUCAUUAAUGAUCUUCUAAACCAAACUUCUUGUCCUAUCCACUCCUAUGCUGAUGAUACCACCCUGCACUUUUCCACGUCUUUUCAUAGACGUCCAACCCUUCAGGAGGUAAACAUACGAGUAUCACGCAGGGAAGCCACAGAACGCCUGACUUCUGAUCUUUCUAAAAUUUCUGAUUGGGGCAGAGAAAACUUGGUAUUGUUCAAUGCCUCAAAAACUCAAUUCCUCCAUCUAUCAACUCGACACAAUCUUCCAGACAACUAUCCCCUCUUCUUCAAUGACACUCAACUGUCCCCCUCUUCUACACUGAACAUCCUCGGUCUGUCCUUUACCUAUAAUCUGAACUGGAAACUUCACAUCUCAUCUCUAGCUAAAACAGCUUCUAUGAAGUUAGGUGUUCUGAGACGUCUCCGCCAGUUUUUCUCACCCCCCCAGCUGCUAACUCUGUACAAGGGCCUUAUCCGUCCAUGUAUGGAGUAUGCUUCACAUGUCUGGGGGGGUUCCACUCAUACUGCUGUUCUAGACAGGGUGGAAUCAAAAGCUUUUCGUCUCAUCAACUCCUCUCCUCUAACUGACUGUCUUCAGCCUCUCUCUCACCGCCGCAAUGUUGCAUCUCUAGCUGUCUUCUACCGCUAUUUUCAUGCUAACUGCUCUUCUGAUCUUGCUAACUGCAUGCCUCCCCUCCUUCCGCGGCCUCGCUGCACAAGACUUUCUUCUUUCUCUCACUCCUAUUCUGUCCACCUCUCUAACGCAAGAGUUAACCAGUAUUCUCAAUCAUUCAUCCCUUUCUCUGGUAAACUCUGGAACUUCUUGCCUGCUUCUGUAUUUCCACCUUCCUAUGACUUGAAUUCCUUCAAGAGGGAGGUUUCAAGACACUUAUCCACCAAUUUUUGACCACUGCUUUGACCCUUUUAGGGACUGGCAUUUCAGUGGGCAUUUUUUUUUAUUAGAUUUUUGUUGCCCUUGGCCAGUAUCCUUCCUACAUAAAAAAAAAAAAAAAAAAAAAAAAAAAAAAAAAAAAAAAAAAAGUUUGUAAUUUGCCUCUGUGUCUAUUUUUCCAGCCUUUUUAUUCAUUGAUGUACACUUUUGCCUUUCACUGCUUCCUCCUUUAAUCCAUUCUAUAUCUUUAUAUAUUUACAUGGAAAGAUAUGUUUGCAUUAUUUGAACAUUCUCUCUCUCUCUCUCUCUCUCUCUCUCUCUCUCUCUCUCUCUCUCUCUCUCUCUCUCUCUCUCUCUCUCUCUCUCUCUCUCUCUCUCUCUCUCUAAUAUUGAGGUUCAUCUCUUGUCCAUAACAAAAGGGCAUUUCUGUCUGGUUCCUCAGGUUGGUUGACUAACCCUAAAGCUGCAGGGGUUUUCACACAUUUCUCCAUUUCAUAUGUCACUACUCCUAUGUGGAAAUAUGUGUGUUAUUUAGGAAGCUCUCUUCUAUCCGAGUUUCUUUUAAUCUUUAUCAUCAUGUGUCAAGUCAUCCAGUUCUGGCACUAUCUUAGUGGCUGUUCUUUGUAUUCUUUCAAAUCUCUACAUGAAACAUCACUGAAUUAAUUAAGCUUAGCAGAAAUUAUGUGAUGUGCCCUACUGAUGCUGGUGUGAAGGUGAGGUGUUUGUAGUGAGCCGUGUGAUGCCUUCCCCAGUGCUGAAUAUGGAGAGGGCAGCCAGACCACGUACAGGCGACGCCACACACUGGAGUUUUUUGAAGUGGAGUGCGACCACUCUUCCAUCAAGCAAGUGGGAAGUGGACUGGCGCUGGUCCCUGUGUUGCACCGUCACCCAGACCAGCUGUCACCUGGCAGUACAGGCAGUGCCACGUAGUGUGUCACUCAGCCUGUUAUGUACUGCCCUUGGCACAGUGUGUGAUAUCAGACUGCAGGAGUGGAGCCUCUGGAGCAGCUGAUGGCUGACCUGGAGCUGGAGAAGAUGGUUCAGGAUGCCAGCAAGACAGCUCUUUGACACUUCCAGUAGUGGUAGAAGCCUCCCAUCACCACCCUCACUCCUCUGCCACUGCUGACCACAACACUGAGGCUGUAUUCUUCAGGACCUGAUUGUUGCUUGGACUUGAGGCUUCCCUGCUUGGGACUGGCAGUUCUGCAAAUGCUGUUAGUGACAGCAUCCGCAGGACAACAGUGUAGGUGGUAUCCUCUGGAGGUCCUUCACCUGCAUGGAGCUAAGUCCACCUGUUGUAAUACUUGAAUGCGUAAGUGCUCAUCUUGAAGAUUUUAAGCACUGCAGUGGUCACCAUCUCAGACCUGACUGCCACAGGUACUUACUGUACACACUGCUAUCUAUAAUCCAGUGCUUAGCAGGUUCUUGGUUAUGGUUAUCAACUAUCUGGAUAAAUUUUACACAGCACCAACCUUAAAUUACAUGUACACAACAGCAAACUUUGGAGUUGUUUUAAGCAUUGCUACCAUCAGUCCAGCCUAGCUAACCAACCUAACAACCUACCCUAACCUAACUCUUCCUCAACAAUGUAGAACAUAUAUUUAACCUCAACAGUGUAGAACAUGUUUAAAAUAAUAUUUUUUUCUAGAAGUUUGGGUCCCAAAGGGUGAGCAGAAAGAAACAAUUUUUAUCUCGCAUUAUGCAACAAAGUCAUUUAGGGAAUUUGGUCAUAUUACUUAAAGCAGUGUCCAAAACAUUAGUUAACUAAAUUCCAUAUGCAGUUUACAGUUUGGUCAAGAUAAAAUAAUAAGCAAAUAUGCUGCUAAUGGGCAAAUUUUUACUCUCACCAGUUUUCUAAUGUGGAUGAAACUAUUUAUUUCUCGUAUUUUUUUGCCUGUUUUGAAUCAAUAUGGUUCUUGUUUUUAUGGAAAUCAUGAGCCAUUACUUUUUACUCCCUGACCCACCAUCCCCUCAGAAACUAAUUAUUUGCAGUAAACAAAAGCAGUUAAUACAAAACAGACUGAUAUGUACAAGAAAAAGGUAGAUUGGCCCUCACAAAUAAGCAGCCACUCACUGUGGCCACCAGCCAGCUGUCACACACCACCACCUAACCCAACCAAGUUAACCAAACUAACCUAUGUAAUCUAACAGAACGAAAUAACAUAACCUAACCAAACAAACCUAAACUAACUUGCCUCCCAAAAAUAGAUGUUUAAAAAUUGCCAUCAGCAUUAUAAAUAAUUUGCAGUGGGUAAAUAUGGGUUUAAAUUACUCAAUGACAAUCUCUAUCUGAUGAGAAAAGUAAGAAAAGCCAUGUUGAGACUGGUGAAAGAGUGAAAGAAUUCCCUACUGUGUGGCCUGGAACCAUAAGCCAUAACUUCACUCACUGGCAGGAGCACUCACACCUGUUUGGUUAUAUCACAGCAAUUCCAUCCCUAUAGCUCUCUAGGCCCCUGAUGUGUCAACCACACCAUGCUAGGUUCGCAACUAUGCUAACAAGAGUGUGAUAGGCAAAGCUGAUGAACUCACUAGUGCCUGUAGCAUGAUGAUGUUCUGCAGCAGCCUUGCUCUUCACGUGGCUCCGUAGGUCCUUAAACUUCCUCAGAGCUAC